rnacentral:misc_RNA from 1 species
UGGGGUCCGCUUUGCUGAUCCUUGACGUGAUAAAAAUGUUUCUCGUUUUGGGUUUAGCACUGUCGCUUGGAUGCCUGCUCCUAACCCGUCUCAUUGACAAUGAUGGUGCUCUGGUCACCGCCGUCUACAUCGGCGGGAGGCUGGACCCACAAAAAGAAAACCUUGACCUCAAAUCGGGUGAGACUACCCGCUGAACUUAA